rnacentral:lncRNA from 1 species
GGUAAUAAUCUGCCCCCCCCCCCACCUUUACUUUUAUUAUCCAAAGAUUGAAGGCUGAGGGGGGGGUAAUCACCGCCCCCCCCCCAGUUCAUUUGUAUUAUCCAAAGACUGAGAGCGGUUCUGCGGUUCUGCUCAGUGCAGCUCACGGAGGGGGGGGGGGGAAGAGGGGGAGGAGGGGGUGGUCUCAUUUUGGGGCCUUUUUGCCCUUCUUUUUGGGGGGGGGCGGAGGGGCGGCCCCCACCAUCGUCAGCUUUUUGGGGAGGGCAGCGGAGGCCUUCAGGGCGACCUCCCGUUCAAUGCGGAGCCGAAUGCCGACCUCCAACGUCUCCUUUCCUCGGCCCCUUCGCCCCCCCCCUUUCCGCCGCCGCCGCUCUCCGCGGUUUCUUCUCCGCCGCUUUCGGUCUCCCUUGCGCCAUGACAGCACUUCCGGUUUGGCGAAGAGGAAGCGGAAGCAGGGACAUUUGAACAGGAAGCGUAAGGCACGACGGGAUGCAGCGAGGCGGAAGUGGG